CGGUUGACCUCGGAUCAGGUAGGGAUACCCGCUGAACUUAAGCAUAUCAAUAAGCGGAGGAAAAGAAACCAACCGGGAUUGCCUCAGUAACGGCGAGUGAAGCGGCAACAGCUCAAAUUUGAAAUCUGGCUCCGUGCGGGGUCCGAGUUGUAAUUUGUAGAGGGUGUUUCGGGUGCGGUGCCGGUCUAAGUUCCUUGGAACAGGACGUCAUAGAGGGUGAGAAUCCCGUCUGCGAGUCGGCCACCAACCCCGGGUGAAACCCCUUCGACGAGUCGAGUUGUUUGGGAAUGCAGCUCAAAAUGGGUGGUAAAUUUCAUCUAAAGCUAAAUACCGGCCAGAGACCGAUAGCGCACAAGUAGAGUGAUCGAAAGAUGAAAAGCACUUUGGAAAGAGAGUUAAAAAGUACGUGAAAUUGUUGAAAGGGAAGCGCUUGCGACCAGACCUGUUCCCGGGCGAUCAUCCGCCAUUCGUGGCGGUGCACUCGCCCGGACGCAGGCCAGCAUCGGUUUGGGCGGCGGGACAAAGGACUCGGGAAUGUAGCUCCCUCCGGGGAGCCUUAUAGCCCGGGCCGCCAUGCCGCCCGCCCGGACCGAGGACCGCGCUUCGGCUAGGAUGCUGGCGUAAUGGUCGUAAGCGACCC
rnacentral:rRNA from 1 species